AUUGAACGCUGGCGGAAUGCUUUACACAUGCAAGUCGAACGAUGAAGCCUAGCUUGCUAGGUCGAUUAGUGGCGAACGGGUGAGUAAUAUAUCGGAACGUAUCCAAUAAUGGGGGAUAACUAGUCGAAGGAUUCGCUAAUACCGCAUACGUCCUACGGGAGAAAGCAGGGGAUCGUAGGACCUGGCGUUAAUGGAGCGGCCGAUAUCGGAUUAGCUAGUUGGUGAGGUAAAGGCUCACCAAGGCGACGAUCAGUAGCUAGUCGGAGAGGACGACCAGCCACACUGGAACUGAGACACGGUCCAGACUCCUACGGGAGGCAGCAGUGGGGAAUUUUGGACAAUGGGCGAAAGCCUGAUCCAGCCAUUCCGCGUGAGUGAAGAAGGCCUUCGGGUUGUAAAGCUCUUUCGCAAGGGAAGAACACUUACUUAAUAACACUAAGUGAGGUUGACGGUACCUUGAUAAGAAGCACCGGCUAACUACGUGCCAGCAGCAGCCGCGGUAA
rnacentral:rRNA from 1 species